GUCACUGUAGCACAGUGUUUAGUGUGUGCGUUGGACUUCUAAUCCAAAGGUCGUGGGUUCGAAUCCCACCUGGGAUGACC